ACGGGUGAGUAACGCGUGGGAACCUACCCAGAACUUCGGAAUAACACAUGGAAACGUGUGCUAAUACCGGAUACGCCCUACGGGGGAAAGAUUUAUCGGUUUUGGAUGGGCCCGCGUAAGAUUAGCUAGUUGGUGAGGUAAUGGCUCACCAAGGCGACGAUCUUUAGCUGGUCUGAGAGGAUGAUCAGCCACACUGGGACUGAGACACGGCCCAGACUCCUACGGGAGGCAGCAGUGGGGAAUAUUGGACAAUGGGCGCAAGCCUGAUCCAGCCAUGCCGCGUGAGUGAUGAAGGCCUUAGGGUUGUAAAGCUCUUUCAGUAGGGAAGAUAAUGACGGUACCUACAGAAGAAGCCCCGGCUAACUUCGUGCCAGCAGCCGCGGUAAUACGAAGGGGGCUAGCGUUGUUCGGAUUUACUGGGCGUAAAGCGCACGUAGGCGGAUCGUUAAGUUAGGGGUGAGAUCCUGGAGCUCAACUCCAGAACUGCCUCUAAUACUGGCGAUCUAGAGUCCGGAAGAGGUGAGUGGAACUCCUAGUGUAGAGGUGGAAUUCGUAGA
rnacentral:rRNA from 1 species